rnacentral:piRNA from 1 species
UGCCUAGAUUGGUUCUGCUAAAGCGGGU